AACGCAUCUUGCGCUCCUUGGUAUUCUGAGGAGCAUGCCUGUUUGAGUGUCAUCAAAUUCUCAACCACAACAAAAUUCUUCUUUUGGUGUGGCUUUGGAUAUGGGGGAUUUCUUUUUUGCAGGCUUCUGAAAAAUGAAGUUGGCUCCCCUGAAAUGUAUUAGUGGUAUCUGAGCAGGAGACUACUAUGGGUGUGAUAAAUCUAUCUAUGCCUUGGUACAACUGCUAUGCCGCUUCUAGCGAGAGUGCAUUUGACAAAUUUGACCUCAAAUCAGGUAGGACUACCCGCUGAACUUAA
rnacentral:misc_RNA from 1 species